CCAGAUAUCCGAGCAGAGUUCCAAUGAAUCUGUUUAUGCUUAUUUUCACAGUUUUAUUGCUAACCUUUUCUUGAAUUGUUGUUUCAUUUAAAUGAUGCUGUCAGUUGGUCCAUUGUUGUUUUCAUUUGACAGUUUGGGUUUAUAUUUUUAAAUGUGGGGCUGAAGGUGUGAUUGUAAAGGGAGCUAAUUGGUAGCUGACUUCUAUUAAUAUGGAAUCAUCAGAAUAUGAAAUGGACUUGUUUGACUCUUGUGUAAAUGGCACUUAAGUUCCUCCUCCUCAUCAUUCGAGGUACCAUCACCAACAGAAGAUACUCAGUGAGAUUAGGGGAAUCCCAAAUUGCUAGUUUAUAAUUCUCACUAAUAC
rnacentral:lncRNA from 1 species